rfam:Bacillus pseudofirmus OF4, complete genome.
CGGUUAUGCCUCCUACCCGAUAUCGUUGGAGGUACUCGGCUAUACUGUGGGGGGUGCGCGGGCACCCCCUUAGGUGCGUGUUACCAAUGGUGUGGCGUGAGGGGAGGUUAAAUGCCUC